GAUGAAGAACGCAGCGAAAUGCGAUAAGUAGUGUGAAUUGCAGAAUUCAGUGAAUCAUCGAAUCUUUGAACGCACAUUGCGCCCCUUGGUAUUCCAUGGGGCAUGCCUGUUCGAGCGUCAUUUGUACCUUCAAGCUCUGCUUGGUGUUGGGUGUUUUGUCUCGCCUCUGCGUGUAGACUCGCCUUAAAACAAUUGGCAGCCGGCGUAUUGAUUUCGGAGCGCAGUACAUCUCGCGCUUUGCACUCAUAACGGCGACGUCCAAAAGUACAUUUUUACACUCUUGACCUCGGAUCAGGUAGGGACACCCGCUGAACUUAAGCAUAUCAAUAAGCGGAGGA
rnacentral:misc_RNA from 1 species